ensembl:lncRNA
AUAAGUUCCCGGAUUUGCAGUGUCUGUCUCCAAAAGCAGUGAAAGAACAGGCCAAAAGGAAAAGACCACAGAAGAAGCCUGAAGAACUGAAGGACAACCCGGUGCCUGCUGUUACAAACAGAUUAAGCCAAAGACCGCAGCGAGCUGUGGCCAAAGCUACAAAAAGCUACAAAGACCCAUCUGAUAUCUCUAGCCAAUCAGAGGUGGAGGAAUCUCCAGCCUUGAAGACCAAAUUGAAGAGGGCAGUCGUACAAACAGAAGAGAGUGAGAAAUCUUCUCUGGAACAGGACAUAAAGAAGAAAAAGAUUUCUCACAUGCAGGAAACUAGAGAAAAGCACGCAGGAUCUUGGGUUGCCAAAGUGGCAUCUUUGUGCCCCAGCCCGUCCCCUGUUGAGAUAAUGAGAUCUUCAGAGAAGUCUACACAUUCACCUGCAUCACCUACUACACCUCUCCGGCAGCUCUCCCUCUCGCCUGUUGGGGCUCCGGCUGUGAAAAUGCGUAGAAGCUUUAAGGGAAUCAGGGCCUCUUCUUUCUAUCGGCCAUGUGUUGGUAAAAACAGCUUUAAUGCCACCCCAUUGGCCUCUUUAACCAUAGACGACAAGAUGACUGUAACCGCCUCCAAGCAACCACAGCACAGUCUUGCUGAGGUCCUGCAUGACCAGCCCCUGCUCACCUCUACGGCUAUAGAGAGGUCUCUGGAUGCCCUCUCACACAAGUCUUCUGACCUGAGGUUGGAGCUGAUAGACCCUGAGGCUGUGCAAUGCGACCAAAGGACCUGGUCUGACGGGGAGUCUCCAAUUGCCGCACGGACCGUGCGCCAGUCAUCGCCUGGAAAAGUGAAGCCUCUGCAUGAACAUGAGAGAACACCAUCCUCCAACAGAGACUGCCAGUCUGCAUUGUGGGAAUUUCAGUCAGGCCCUGGCUUCAGCUGGAAGCGGAAGAUUUCAUGCAGCAGCAGCAGCUCACAUUCUGACUGCGAGGAGAAGGAGAAUAUUACACCUAAAGAGCACAUCAUCAAAAUGAAGCCAAGGAAGCUGUUCAGGGCUGAUAAGAGUGAAAUGGAAAAAGAGAAAAAUACUGGGUCAAAGCAGGCAGAUUGUGAUGAGGCCGAAGAAGAUGAGAGGAAUCUGAAUGAGUUUAAGUUAAAGGCAGGUGAGGGCAUAAAUAAGAAAAUAGCACGACAAAGACUGACCAGGACGUCCCAUCACAGAAGACAAGAUGAGGACACCUGCAAGAAAGUAGUUGAGACAGUAGAGAGAGAGUCCAUCAUGUCCCACACAGGAUCCAGCAGUUGCAAGGCCACUGUAGAGGCUGAGGUGGACCCGUCUCACCCAGAGAUCAGCUCAACGCAAGAGAUGGGCAACAUCUGCCGCGAGUUCGGUGCUGAGCUCAGCAGGAAGUUUCAGGUCCAUUUUUACACCUCUUCUGCCCUCAUGCAGUUAUAA